rnacentral:rRNA from 1 species
AGCGAACAUUGGCGGUAGGCUUAACACAUGCAAGUCGAGCGAGGCGUAAUAGUCGAGCGGCGAACGGGUGCGUAAUACAUGGGAAUCUACCUCGAAGUGGGGGAUAACGUCCAGAAAUGGACGCUAAUACCGCAUAAUCCAUAUCGGGAAAGCGUUGCAGCGCUUUGAGAUGAGCCCAUGGCUGAUUAGCUUGCUGGUGAGGUAACGGCUCACCAAGGCGACGAUCGGUAGCUGGUCUGAGAGGAUGACCAGCCACACUGGAACUGAGACACGGUCCAGACUCCUACGGGAGGCAGCAGUGGGGAAUCUUGCGCAAUGGGGGCAACCCUGACGCAGCCAUACCGCGUGAGUGAUGAAGGUCUUCGGAUUGUAAAGCUCUUUCGGCAGGGACGACGAUGACGGUACCUGCAAAAGAAGUCACGGCUAACUUCGUGCCAGCCGCCGCGGUAA